rnacentral:rRNA from 1 species
AGAACGAACGCUGGCGGCAUGCCUAAUACAUGCAAGUCGAACGAACACUUCGGUGUUAGUGGCGCACGGGUGCGUAACGCGUGGGAAUCUGCCCUUGGGUUCGGAAUAACAGUUGGAAACGACUGCUAAUACCGGAUGAUGACGAAAGUCCAAAGAUUUAUCGCCCAGGGAUGAGCCCGCGUAGGAUUAGCUAGUUGGUGAGGUAAAGGCUCACCAAGGCGACGAUCCUUAGCUGGUCUGAGAGGAUGAUCAGCCACACUGGGACUGAGACACGGCCCAGACUCCUACGGGAGCAGCAGUAGGGAAUA